rnacentral:rRNA from 1 species
AACGAACGCUGGCGGCAGGCUUAACACAUGCAAGUCGAACGCCCCGCAAGGGGAGUGGCAGACGGGUGAGUAACGCGUGGGAACAUACCCUUUCCUGCGGAAUAGCUCUGGGAAACUGGAAUUAAUACCGCAUACGCCCUACGGGGGAAAGAUUUAUCGGGGAAGUAAUUGGCCCGCGUUGGAUUAGCUAGUUGGUGGGGUAAAGGCCUACCAAGGCGACGAUCCAUAGCUGGUCUGAGAGGAUGAUCAGCCACAUUGGGACGGAGACACGGCCCAAACGCCACCGGAGGGGACCAGAGGGAAAUAUUGGAAAUUGGCGCCAGCCCUGUUCGAGCCUGGCCGGGUGGGUAAGGAGGGCUUAGGGUUGUAAAGCUCUUUCACCGAUGAAGAUAAUGACGGUAGUCGGAGAAGAAGCCCCGGCUAACUUCGUGCCAGCCGCCGCAGUAAAAC